UUAAGCGACUAAGCGUACACGGUGGAUGCCCUGGCAGUCAGAGGCGAUGAAGGACGUGCUAAUCUGCGAUAAGCGUCGGUAAGGUGAUAUGAACCGUUAUAACCGGCGAUUUCCGAAUGGGGAAACCCAGUGUGUUUCGACACACUAUCAUUAACUGAAUCCAUAGGUUAAUGAGGCGAACCGGGGGAACUGAAACAUCUAAGUACCCCGAGGAAAAGAAAUCAACCGAGAUUCCCCCAGUAGCGGCGAGCGAACGGGGAGCAGCCCAGAGCCUGAAUCAGUGUGUGUGUUAGUGGAAGCGUCUGGAAAGGCGCGCGAUACAGGGUGACAGCCCCGUACACAAAAAUGCACAUAUUGUGAGCUCGAUGAGUAGGGCGGGACACGUGGUAUCCUGUCUGAAUAUGGGGGGACCAUCCUCCAAGGCUAAAUACUCCUGACUGACCGAUAGUGAACCAGUACCGUGAGGGAAAGGCGAAAAGAACCCCGGCGAGGGGAGUGAAAAAGAACCUGAAACCGUGUACGUACAAGCAGUGGGAGCACGCUUAGGCGUGUGACUGCGUACCUUUUGUAUAAUGGGUCAGCGACUUAUAUUCUGUAGCAAGGUUAACCGAAUAGGGGAGCCGAAGGGAAACCGAGUCUUAACUGGGCGUUAAGUUGCAGGGUAUAGACCCGAAACCCGGUGAUCUAGCCAUGGGCAGGUUGAAGGUUGGGUAACACUAACUGGAGGACCGAACCGACUAAUGUUGAAAAAUUAGCGGAUGACUUGUGGCUGGGGGUGAAAGGCCAAUCAAACCGGGAGAUAGCUGGUUCUCCCCGAAAGCUAUUUAGGUAGCGCCUCGUGAAUUCAUCUCCGGGGGUAGAGCACUGUUUCGGCAAGGGGGUCAUCCCGACUUACCAACCCGAUGCAAACUGCGAAUACCGGAGAAUGUUAUCACGGGAGACACACGGCGGGUGCUAACGUCCGUCGUGAAGAGGGAAACAACCCAGACCGCCAGCUAAGGUCCCAAAGUCAUGGUUAAGUGGGAAACGAUGUGGGAAGGCCCAGACAGCCAGGAUGUUGGCUUAGAAGCAGCCAUCAUUUAAAGAAAGCGUAAUAGCUCACUGGUCGAGUCGGCCUGCGCGGAAGAUGUAACGGGGCUAAACCAUGCACCGAAGCUGCGGCAGCGACGCUUAUGCGUUGUUGGGUAGGGGAGCGUUCUGUAAGCCUGCGAAGGUGUGCUGUGAGGCAUGCUGGAGGUAUCAGAAGUGCGAAUGCUGACAUAAGUAACGAUAAAGCGGGUGAAAAGCCCGCUCGCCGGAAGACCAAGGGUUCCUGUCCAACGUUAAUCGGGGCAGGGUGAGUCGACCCCUAAGGCGAGGCCGAAAGGCGUAGUCGAUGGGAAACAGGUUAAUAUUCCUGUACUUGGUGUUACUGCGAAGGGGGGACGGAGAAGGCUAUGUUGGCCGGGCGACGGUUGUCCCGGUUUAAGCGUGUAGGCUGGUUUUCCAGGCAAAUCCGGAAAAUCAAGGCUGAGGCGUGAUGACGAGGCACUACGGUGCUGAAGCAACAAAUGCCCUGCUUCCAGGAAAAGCCUCUAAGCAUCAGGUAACAUCAAAUCGUACCCCAAACCGACACAGGUGGUCAGGUAGAGAAUACCAAGGCGCUUGAGAGAACUCGGGUGAAGGAACUAGGCAAAAUGGUGCCGUAACUUCGGGAGAAGGCACGCUGAUAUGUAGGUGAAGUCCCUCGCGGAUGGAGCUGAAAUCAGUCGAAGAUACCAGCUGGCUGCAACUGUUUAUUAAAAACACAGCACUGUGCAAACACGAAAGUGGACGUAUACGGUGUGACGCCUGCCCGGUGCCGGAAGGUUAAUUGAUGGGGUCAGCGCAAGCGAAGCUCUUGAUCGAAGCCCCGGUAAACGGCGGCCGUAACUAUAACGGUCCUAAGGUAGCGAAAUUCCUUGUCGGGUAAGUUCCGACCUGCACGAAUGGCGUAAUGAUGGCCAGGCUGUCUCCACCCGAGACUCAGUGAAAUUGAACUCGCUGUGAAGAUGCAGUGUACCCGCGGCAAGACGGAAAGACCCCGUGAACCUUUACUAUAGCUUGACACUGAACAUUGAGCCUUGAUGUGUAG
rnacentral:rRNA from 1 species